UUCGGCCCCUGCACCAACAGGGGUGAAGUUCUCACCAUGACAAAGAGAAGGAAGCUGGCUUAAUGGACACCUUGGGCAGAAAACAAGGAGGCCUCCCUACCUCCACUUCAUCCCACACAGGAGUCUUGAUGCUGCCUGGGAGUCCAGGAGUCUGUCUAGGAAUCCAGGAAGGCUUCCUUGAGGAGGAGUCAUUGGAUCUGGGCCUUGAAGGAUAAACAGAAGUUCCUAGGCAGAGAAGGGCCAGGUGCUCAGAAAACCACAGACAAGACCCAGCCCCAGGCCUGCCCCAAAGCGGGUCACAUCUCAUAAAUGAUGCUCGAAUAAUAAUAGUAACAGUUCCCACAAGCUGAGUGUGCACUGCUAGGGCACAGCACAUAAGAGGAAUUCAGUGCCUGAAUGAAUGAGCCAAUAAAUUAAACUUUCUCUU